AUUAGGGUUUUCUUUUUUUCCUAAAUAUCUUGCUUUUCGAUAAGAUCGAUCAUUAUUCAUCAUUAUGUCUCUGCUUUUUAACCAGCCUUCGAAGUUAUUCCUAGGCAAACCUGCGUUGAUGAGAUCCUCUCUUUUUCUCUCUAAUGACUUAUCAUCUUCCUCAGUGCGAAUCCCUCCUUGUUCCAUCAACGGUUGUGGACUGAAGGUUAAGAUUGUUACUAAUGGUCGCCGCACUUAUUUCGCAAAGAAGGACGACGGAAUCGUGAGUUUCAACAAGGAAGAUGAAAAAAAAUGGCUAGCUUACAAAGGCUGGGUAGCUACUUACAACGGCGACGGAAUUAUGCAUUUCAUUGAGGAGACAGGAGAACAACCGAAACACUUUUCGUUGCCUCCUUUUGUAACUCUGCCUCAUUGCCAAACUCAGAUUGUCACCAAUGUGGUCAUGUCCUCACCUUCUCCUGAGGACGAGGACUGUGUCGUGGCUGUCAAGUUCUUGGGACCGCAACUGAGUUUUAUCAGACCAGCUCAAAGUAACUCUGAGGAGUGGACCAACGUCAGAAUUGAAAACCCUUGCUUCUACUCCUCCCAAGUCAUGUUUUCCAAGAAAGAUGGCAUGUUUCGUAUUCCCGGAUCUAGAGGCCACAUCAUCGGAUCAUGGGAUCUCCACACUGACACACACAAGCCCAAGAUUCAGAGGUUGCGGUUCCGAAACCUUCCUGAGCUAACCAAGACCCAACGCGAGCUUUUGGAAUCUUGCUGCACAAGCGAAUUCUUGCUGAUAGAGUCACAAUCAACCGAUGAAACUUUCUUGGUUAGGUGGUACAAGAAGAGCUCUAGAAAUAUCCUGAGUUCAAAAGCUGUGAUGGUGUUCAAACUCGAUGACAAAGGAAACGCUAUUUACACUCAAGACAUUGGAGAACUCUGCAUACUCCUCUCUGGAACUGAACUUUUAUGUGAACCUGCUAGUUCCAAUAUCUACCUCCUGAGGCCUAAUCACGUCGAAAUCUAUGAUGUCUACGAGUUCUUUACUCUCAAUAUCGCUAACUCCCCCAUUCUUUAGUAAAAUUUUGCUAUGAUUAAAUAUGGAAUUAAUUCUGAGUCUGUCUUCUCUUUUGAAUCUUUCAAACCUCAAAAUUGUAGAAGCGAAUCUCUAUGACAUUUUUAUGCAUAUGUGUUGUGGGAUAAUUAAGAUGUGCUAUCAUCUUUCUUCUAACCAAUAAUGCUUAAACUCUAUAUAUCGAACUAGUAGCAAUAUCAUUCAUUUUAAUCGAGAUGCUUUUAUGUGGAAUGUGCUAGUAUUCGUGUGGUUACCUUUAUGCAUAUGGUUGUAAUGACUGCGAACUAACUAUUUGUUUGAACAACAUAAGGAAAAGAGUUUGCAGCUUACCAAAGAGCACUCUAGAUAUCAAAUAUGGUGAUAGAGCCGGUGGAGCACACAAGCCGGUGCUUAAUCCAAUUGCCAGGGUGAUCUCUGUAAUUUUUUUUAUGUUUCUUAGAGAUUACCUUUAUUCAGAAAAUUCUAAACUUUUGAUAUUGCGUACCCUUUAUGCUUCUUCAACUAGAUAUGAGUUUUUUUCCAGUGAGCCAUGCAUAUAUACUCUGAUUUUAUAAGUGUAUUUAUCUUUUUCAAUUUACAUUUCAUAAUACAAUUGUAAAAAGAAACAAUAUCUUGUUUUGAAAUGUUAAAUCUUUUUAUCAUAACUUAGUAUCAUAAUUCUUCGCCAUAUACAUAUGAAAGAAAACAAGAAAAAGAAACUUGGAUAGAUUAUUGGCGUAAUAAAACUUACAAGUCACGUGUACCUUGUUGUAUAUGAGCUAAACUUGGAACAUAAUUCAAAAGAUGCGAGCAAGGUAAUUUGCAUGUAACAUUUCCACCAUCGGGAUAUACGUAUAUGUAAUUAUUGCAACACAACACAAGUUUGUUCUGCUCGUGAUUUGGCCAACAAACUCACCCCAUUGGAAAAGUCAUAAUCUUUAUUGUGACUGGCGUUCACUUCAAAGAGCCUUUUCCAGGACAUGACUGAUUUGGUACUAAUUGUUGUCACCCAGACAUGUAAACCUGUUGAAUUAGUAACACAGAGACAAAGUUGAUCUUCUCUAACUACUGAUAAAACCUUAGCAACACAAUGAAAUUGAUGAGGAAGAGGCUGCAUUCCAAAUCUCUCUGUUGAAUAAUCAAAACUUAGUAAGAAUUCAUGAUAUGGCCGGCGUCCCACGAUGAAUAGCAACCCAAUAAGUACUUCCUUUCACCGACACGCAACAAUGACUUAGUGGUAAAUACCAAUCGGUUUUCGGACCAAGAACCCUCCAAGAAUCAGUGGUGAAGUCAUAGAUUUCGUACUCAUUGUUGAUACCCCGACUACGGCCUUGAUGAUCAACCCUCAAGACUUUAUAUUUCUUGCUGGAGGAUUUGUUAACGUAACCAAGAGCAUAGAAGUUGGAGUCCGUGUAGUUGUUUCAUUUGGUUUCUCCUGAACAUGGAUUACAAACCACGAGUCUAUCAUCUUCGGUGUUGCAUAACAAUAAGCCGUCACAGUGAAAGACUUUACGUAUAUCGACUUGUGAAGAUUUAGACUGUGGAUCUUCAAGGUAGAAUUGAGAUGUUACGUUAACAGAUGGAGCAAUGUUGAUGUCAAGUUCAUGGAGAUAAUUGGCCCUUACUAAGCAAACCCUAAAAUACUCUAACAUGAUAAUAAGAGACUCCUUUGGUGCAUUAGUAGAAUGUAUAUUAGCAGAUUUCAAUAGAGCAUUCCAUUGUUUUGAUGUUGAACGCAAUCGUGCCAGAGAUGUAGCCGGAACCCUAGAGAGUAUCUCUUUUUGCAAGUCCAUUGGAAGGCUUCUCCAAUCCAUAGCGAGUUUGUGACUAAGGAACUUCGGCAAUCAAAAUCAAAACCUAUAAUAUAUAAUCAGAAUACAAGGGAUGGAGAGAGAUGGAAAAAGCAAGUCAGCCCAAGCUACAAGCGAGAUAGACCUAAUCCUUAAAUAUAACUGUAAAUUUAAUGACUUUAUCCUUAAAUAUAACUAUAUCUAUCUAUACUAGUAUUUUUGAAGUACAUUUUGUAUCGGUGGAUUAUAAAAUUUAUCCGAGAUUUUUGGUACCCGGCCCGAUACAAAAUUUACUUCAUAAAAAUUUGUUUGGAUCGAGUUAUAUGUAACCCAACUCUUCCACCGGAUAUUUGUCUAAAAAUCGGAUACAAAUAUUACCAAAUUGGAUCGUGUCCACUAAUUACGUUUCUAUAUUUAAUAAUAAAGAUAUUUAGAAGAUUUAGUUCUAAUUUAAAUUUAUCAUUCUCCUUUCAUCUUUGUUUAAUUUUUUAAACUAUUUUGAAUCAUCAUGUUAUACAUAAAGUUAAAAAAAAAUCUCAAUUUUUUUUCUACAUAUAUUGUGCUUCAAAAUUAAAAAAAACGAACAUAUAUUACCUAAUUAAUGAAAAAGUGUGUUCAACUUCCCAUAUCGGCUAAAAUAUUUAAACAAAGAUUCAGAGUCAUGUUAUAAAUAAGAUCAAAAUGAAUCCAAAUCCGAAUUAGCAGGAACUUUAACUUAACAAGCAUCCAAAUUUAAAAAAUUUGUAUACGGAUUAAUUUGGUUUUUAGUUAAACUAUUUCAUUUUACCGGAAAUAUUAUAUUUGAUAUAUUUGAAAGCAAUAGAAAGUUUAUAAUAUUAUGAACAUUUGAACAUAUAAAAAUCAAAUGUAACACGGGACGAAGUUUUAUGGUGGUCUGGCGGGACGGAUUUUGAAUCAACAUUAAUAAAAAUUUAAAAUAUCACUAAUUCACUGCUUCAAUAUGGGACGGAUUAAAAUAAAAAAAAUUUAUAAUAUUAUGUACAUUUGAACAUAUUAGAAAAAAAAAUAGCACGGGCGGAUUAUAUUGCGAGACGGGUUAUAUGGCGAGACGAGUUUGAAAUAACAUUAAUAAAAAUUUAAAAUGUCAUUAACUUGCCGCUUCAAUACGGGUUAAACUCUUAUUUUAUUAUUUUUUGACACUAUGAUUAUUAGACAUAUCGAAUCAGACUGAUUUAAAUAAGAUUGUACAAAGCAAAAAAUAUUGUGUGGUAUACCACUAUUUAAUAAUAAUUAUAAACUAUAAAAAUAUAAAUUUUUAUAAAAUUAUAUUAUUUGCAAAUUUUUUAUAUAAUACAAAAUCAUGAAAUUUCUAAAAUUACUACUUUUAGUAAAUAAAUUGUCCCGCGGUAUACCGCGGGUUAAAAUCUAGUUCAAUAUCUAAGAUUGUAAGUCGUUUUUCAUGCUCCACUUUGCGUUGUAACUCAAAAUAAAUUGACCUUUUGGGAGAAGGAAAAUAUUAUAUAAGUAUGAUUCAGAAAAAAAAGAAAAAAAUCGAAAAAAGGUGAUAUUAUACCAUGAAAAUUGACAAUAUAUAAAAAAAAGACAACUUGAUAAUUCUGCAUUAACAAGACUAUCCUUAAAAAGUAAUUAAUCAAAACAACAAAAAAUUUACGAAACGGAUUAAAAAAUGAUAAUUAUCUUAAAAUUAGAAUUUUUAUUCUUCUCAGUUAAACAUCAAACAUCUCGAGUCUUUCCUUUUGUUUUUCAACCACGACACUUAUUGGAAUGCUGAAACUCUAACACAUCUUGCAUUUGGAAAUCUCUUUCGGCACUCAAACCUCUUGCUAAAUGAUUUCUAACGCUGCUUUUGUGACAAAUGGAAAAACUCUACCAGCUCUUGAGCUCGUUGAAGAAUGGAAGAAACGGGAUUUGGUGAUGGGUGAACGAAAUUACAUAACGUUGAUGGAAGAGAUUUUUUUUUUUUAACGAUGAUUGAUUGUGUUAUGUUCAUUUGGAAGGAUGAUCAAUCUGCUUAGCUCAAAGGUGUUCAUUCAUGCUAGUUGCUCAUCAAAUAACUAUGUGUUACUAUGUAUUCAUCCAAUUUUGUUGAUUAGUACAGAUCCACCAAAACAUGCAAAAGACUUUGCAAUAACACAAAAAACAGUAUCUCCGACUCCAAUGGUUUGGAAAUUUCGAAUUUAAGAUGGAAUAAAAAAAGUUCUCACUGAUAUAAAAGUUAAAAGUUGCUUUCCAUGUUUUUUCUGACAAACAACACAAUUCAAUAUCUAGCAUCUAUUUAGCUCAAUAAUAGUGUACAUAAUUUUAUUUAACAUUCAUUUUGAGAGUUGUUGAAGAAGUUGACGCAUCCCCAAAUUCUUCAAGAGUGACAGUGUUUUAUUAUAAACAGCACUGUGAAUAAUUCACAUCACGGAUCUCUUGUCUAACUACUCUAAAUUUUAUGACUUCUGAUAUUUUUUUUUAAUAUCAUAUUCAUUUGGCUAUAGUUGGUCCCUUGCGCGAAGCUAUAGCCAACUCCUUAGCUUUCCAGCAUUUUUAAUAGGAAAUAGUGACAUUGUGUUCGCCUAGCAACAUCUCUUGGAGUUCACAUGCCUGUGGACCGGCAUGUGGUCUACAAUAAUUCUGUUUUAUGAAAGCUGCGAUUACUUUUGAUGUAGCAUGUUUGGAGAACUGUCCCCUUGAGUCAGCAUCACGCACAUAGGUCAGGAGUGCUUUCCUAACCUCAUAUUGAGCCGAAUUCCAAACUUCAUGCGCGUACACCCUCCAAUCACACCAUUUCGAAACACACAACGCCACUGUGUGAUCUCUUCCAUGACGACUAUUGAACUCUGCCUUAUUGAAUCUAAACAGGAAUACCCUAUUUAUAGCAUAUAUUGACAUGGCGACCUUGAACUCUGCCUUAUUCAUGAAGAGCCUCCGACAUAUAUAUCAUCGUCCUCUCGGCUUAAAUCUACAUCAUCUAGAUUGUAUUUACUAGGAGCAGCAUCGUUGAACAUAGACUCAACAUCCUCAUACCCAUAAAUCACUGUUACUCGUAUUACUUUUCAACAAUGCAUUAUCCCCAUCAUCCACCAUCUCCUUCUUCCUCUCUGUUCCAAUUUUAAGCCCAUUAUAACAAACGAAUGUCAUUGUCGUAGUUUUACACUGCAAGUCAGUAGUAGAGACUAGGCAAAGAAGUGAAGUUGUGAAAGAGUACGAAUGUACAAAGAAUAUGACAUUCACCAAAGAAAGCUAGAGUUAUCAAUUUUAUUGCACGGUGGAGGAAACGAAAUGGCUUACCAGCAGCUGUUGAUGAUCUAAUUAAGAUCCAGUUUAGGAACAUUUUUAAUCAUGCAAUGGGUAAGUUCAAUGAGUUUCUGCUUUUCUAGAUUCGAAAAUGAUUUGAGAAUUUCAUGUAUCUUCGCCGGUGGGAAUGUUACAAAAUUAGUUUAUUUGGAGCUUUUCGGUUUAAGUAUCGUUGCUAUUUAUCGUUUGUUUAGUAUCGAGUAGACCAAUUUAUUUCGUAUUAAUUAAGUAAUUACUAUUUGCUAUUUGGAGCUUUGGGGUUUAAUAUCAUUGCUAUUUAUCUUUUGUUUAGUAUCAUUAUUAAAAGCUAUUAAUCUAUACUAGUAUUUUAGAAGUACAUUUGUUAGCGGGUGAUAUUAAAUUAUUGUCCGACAAAUUUGGUACCCGACCCGAUAAGAAAUUUCCUUCAUAAAUCUUACACCGGAUAUUUCAUAUCUUUUUUGGAUCGGAUAAAAACAUAUCCGAAAUUAUGAAUCGGAUAUUCCAUAUUUAAAAAUAUAGAUAUUUAGAAGAUUUGGUUAAGAUUUAAAAAUAAAAUUUUUCUAUCAUCUUUGUUUGAAUAUUUUUUAACUGUUUUGAAUCAUCAUAUAAUACAUAAAAUUAAAAAUAAAUCUCAUUUUUUCUGCAUAUAUUGGGAUUCGAAAUUUUUUAAAACGGAUAUAUAUUACCCAAUUGAUGAAAAAAGUGUGUGUUCAACAUCCCAUAUCGGCUAAAGUGUUUAGAUAUUUAUUCAGAAUCAUAUUAUAAAUAAGAUCAAAAUGAAUCCAAAUCCGAAUGAACAAGAAGCUCAACAUAAUAAGCAUCCAAAUUUAAAAUUAUAUACCGUUUCAUUCGCUUUUUUCAGUUUAACUGCUUAAUUUUAGCAGAAAUGUUAAAUUUUAAACUUUUAAAAAGUUUUAAAUAAAUAUAAUUCUUAUAUUUAAAAUCAAUAAAAUGUGUAUAAUAUUAUGAAAUUGAACAUAUAUAAAGAGUUACAAUAACACGAGAGGGUUAUAUUGCUAGACUGGAUUAUAUAACGGGACAAGUUUUUAAGAAGUUUUAAAUAUUAUAAUUUAUAUAUAUAAAAUCAAUAAAAUGUUUAUAAUAUUAAGAAAUAUUUGAACAUAUAUACAGAGUUAAAAUAACAUGGGACGGUUAUAUUGUAGGAUGGAGUUAUAUUGCAGGACGAGGUUAUAUGACGGGAUGAGUUUGAAUCAAAAAAAUUUUAAACAUCAUUAACCCGAUGCUUUAAUAUGAAAUCUUCAUUUUAUUACUUUUUUAACACCACCAAUAUUUGACAUAUCGAAUGAUCCUGAUCAAAGAAAAUUGUAUAAAAGAAAAAUUGUUAUGUGGUAUACCGUUACUUAAUAACAAUUGUAAACUAUAAAAUAUAAAUAUCUUAUAAAAUGAUACAAUUUGCAAUUUUUAAUAUAUAUAAUAUAUAACCAUUAAAUUUUAAAAAUUACUAAUUUUAAAAACAAAUCGUCAUGCGGUAUACCGCGGGUGGAAAUCUAGUCUUGUUUAGUAUCGAUUAGACCUAUUUAUUUGCUAUUAAUAAAUUAAUAGCUAUUUGCUAUUUGGAGCUUUUCGGUUUAAUAUCAUUGCUAUUUAUCGUUUGUUUAGUCAUUAAAAGCUAUCUAUUUUGUUUAGUAUCAAUUAGACCUCUUUAUUUGCUAUUAAUUAAGUAAUUGAAAUUUACUAUUAAUGAAGAAAGUUAUUAAUUUUACCAAAAAGUAAGUAAUUAAUUAAGAUGUAUUUUUUUAUCAAAAAAAUAAAAUUAAGAUGUACUUUCUUUGCUAUUAAUUAAAUAAUUAAAUAUUAAUAUCAUUAGAACGUCGUAAUAAAGCUGUUUUUUUAUUGGAGGAAUACAAGGAUGUUGUAAUAUUUCCAUAAAAUAAAUAUUGUCCACUAAAGCAAAACACUUGUCUCCAGAGCCGUGCCUAGCAUUGUAUGGACCAGAAGCGGUGUUAAAAAAAAGGCCUUGAUUCAAAUACAAAAAAGCUUUAAAGUAAUAACCAACAUAGUCCAAAUAAAUAAAACAAGAGUAAAACCAGAAUAUUAAUUCUAAAACGUAACUUUUCUUCUUUUUGUGUUAUAAAAUCAAUAACCAAGCUCUCAAAAUCAACGUUAUGAAAUCUCACUUUGCCAAAAGCUGAGACCAAAUCUUUUUUCAAUGCUAAACGUGAAAAUUUCUUUAAAAUAAAAUCGGUUUGGGUGCGGUUUGGGGACGAUACGUCUCCGAGAGAGAGAAUAAUAUGUUUAUUUGGAGACGGGAAACUUGGUGAGCAAGUCUAUUUCCUCUGUAUUAAUAAUGUAGCGUCUAAAAGGUGAUCAUCACAACGAUUCUUCAAUUAGGUUUUUUUUUUUUUUCCCUAAAUCUCUUGUUUUCGAUAAGAUCGAUCAUUAUUCAUCAUCAUGUCUCUGCUUCUCAACGAGCCUUCGAUGUUGUGCCUAGGCAAACCUGCGUCGAUGAGGUCAUCUCUUUUUCUCUCUAGUGGCUUCCCAUCUUCCUCACUGCGAACCCUUCCAUGUUCCAUCCACGGUUGUGGACUGAAGGUUAGUAAUGUUCCUAAAUCUCGCCACACUUCUUUGGAAAAGAAGGUGCCUGUGGGUAGACAUAAAAUAGAUUGGCUAGCAUACCUUGGCUGGUUAGCUACUUACAGUGACGACGGAAUUUUGCGUUUCAUUGAUUCUAUGUGGGAUUCAGGAGAACCGAAACACUUUUCGUCGCCUCCUUUUGUAACUUUACCUCGUUGCCAAACUCAAAUUGUCACCAACGUGGUCGCAUCUUCUCCUCUUGACGACGAGGACUGUGUUGUGGCUGUCAAGUUUUUGGGACCUCAACUCAGCUUUUUCAGACCUGCUCAAAGUAAAUUUGGGUGGACCAACGUUAGAAUCGAAAACCCUUGCUUCUACUCCUCCAAAGUCAUGUUUUCCAAGAAAGAUGGCAUGUUUCGUAUUCCUGGAUCUGGAGGCCACAUUAUCGGAUCAUGGGAUCUCCACACACACAAGCAAACACCACCGAAGAUUCAGAGGUUGCAGCUCCAAAACCUUCCCGAGCGGACCAGGACCCAACGCGAGCUUCUGGAAUCUUCCUGGGCGAGCGUAUUCUUGGUGGAGUCACAAUCAACCGAUGAAACUUUCUUGGUUAAGUGGUACAAGAAGACCUCUGGAAAGAUCAUGAAAACAAAAGGUGUAAUGGUGUUCAGGCUAGACCAUAAAGGAAACGCUAUUUACACUCAAGACAUUGGAGAUCUCUUCAUUUUCCUCUCACGAGAUGGUAUUUCUUGUGAAGAACCCUCCGACAACUUUAGGCCUAACCACGUCCAUGUCGGUGAUAAAGACGGGUUCUUCACUAUCAAUCUGGCAAGUGGCGGAUUAGAAGUUCACAGAGAAUUCUAAUUGAAUAGAAUCUCUUUGACAUUGUUAUGCAUAUGAUGUGGGAUAAUCUUUGCUAUCAUCUCUCUUCCAAUUAUUUUUGUUUAAACUAUAUCCAAUAAGUUUAUGAAUCAUUGUUGUCACCAUUAAAAAGUUGUGUAGCACAGAAAAGUAGAAAACUAAACUAAGAGAGAACCCGUGUUUUCCCUCUUUUGAUUAAUGCCUCAGAUAUAUAACUUUUUAAUAUUUUUUUGUGAAUAUUAAAUCGAUCUUGGAAGGCGGUAACUAGUUGUUGUGUUUCGUAAACUAAGAUUAGAAAGUUGUGGAACUAUAAAUUAAAGUUUUUUGACAAUAAUAAUAGGCUUGCUUCGUAAACUGCAAAGUUGGGAAUUUUAGUGGUAUUUUCGUGUUAAGAGAGCACCACCAAAUGGCGGAGCCAGAAUUUUUGUUUAUAGAGGUCAUAUAUAUUAUUAUUUUUAUUUAAUUACAUAUUAAUAUUAAAUAAUAUAUUUUAUCUUGAUUUAUGAUAUUUUAUAGAAAUAUAUGUCAAAACAAUUUUGAGAAAAAGAACGAAAAAAAACAAGAUAUCCGAUGAUACAAAGAAAAAGAAUCAAUAUGUAAAAAAACUAUUAGAGAAUUGUAAUCAUUUUUUAGGAAAAAAACAAAACAAACAUAGAAAGAAAAUUAAUGUUGAAUGAAAAAUUAAAUAUGAAUGGGGUCAAAGACAUAAAAUUAUGGCAUGACAUAGGGGUCAACUAGGAAAUUUUGUACCAAAAUAUCUAAAAUCAUUAGAUAAUUUACCUUAUAAUUUCAAAACUUUAAAAUGUUAUGGGGGUCAACUGACCCCCCCUCCCUCUUAAUUGGCUCCGCCCCUGCCACCAAUUUAUGUUCUUCACUCGCCAUCAAAAACCAUGACACGAAUUAGAAAAGAUUCUUGCUCAUACCCAAUAAUCAAUCAGAACUAAGGAUGGAGACUCAUUCUUCCCCGUUUUGAUAUAGAAAUCCAACACUUCAAAUAAGUAUUUCAGCAAAAAUAAAAAGCGCCUUUGGAUCCACAUAAGAGUAAAAAGGCAAAAUCACAGUGUAAUACUAAUAGAAAAAAAUUAAUAUUUUACUCUAACGACAAUGAUAUAGACAUAUAUAUAUAUAUAGUCUAGUCACCAAUUAAAAUCAGAGUGUAAUAAAUCGGAUACAUAUACUUGGAUGAAAAUUUAGGACAAAUAGCAUUAUAUUUAAAAGCCAUGAAGAUGGUGGUAAAAAGAUGAUACAGUAUAGGAAAAGAUAGUAGUACCAUUUUUACUCGUCAUCUUUGUAAUUUUUGACUAGAUAGUUACACCGGAGAUCGGUACACACGUUGUACCACAACAUUACAAAUCAAAUAGCACACAUGGUUGUAUUGACUGCGUGCGAACUAACAGAACUAUCGCCAUCCUCUGCCAAGACAGAUUCUAGACCUAGAAUUUUUCAACAUCCUCGUGUUUCCAUAAACCAGAAUCUCCUUUGCAAUCAAAAUUUUCCACAUCAAAUCUUCCUUAUGUUGUGACUUAUCUCUUGCUCGAGAAAUCAGAGGUGCGACGUGUUCUCACGAAUUUUCUAAGCUACACGGAGAAACAAUUUGGGAAGUCAGUCAAAUCUGUUCGUAGUGACAACGGUAUGGAGUUUACAAUAACCGACUAUGACUUGAACUACAAGUUACGGGCCUAAACAUAUGGUCCAAACUCUAUCCGUAAUAGCUCCAUAAACCAAUUUCUUUCUUCUUGUUUCUGGUUCAAUUCCAGCAAGAAACAGAGACAAAGAUUUUUACUCCCAUUGAAGAAUAGAUAAGUGCCUCUAUAUUGAUUCUACAUAGUGUUUUAUGUUCAAAAGUUAACAUUUUGUAUAUACAUCAUAUAUUAAGUGUCCAAUAUAAUUGAUGGAAUCAGAAACAGUUGUUCGUUAAGUGUAAAAUGGGAUUGAAUUAUAAAAAAUUUGACUUUGUUGAAAAUUCGAUUGUCAUAUGCACAUGUGUUUAAUAACUUCGUUCUCAUAUGCAAUUUUUUUUUUGUGAACGAUUUAUGUUCCUUAGUCGAUAGUACAUUAUACAUGCUGUUAGACUUUCUCCCUGUGUUUUUAAACCCGACCCGGACGGUAAACCGGACUACCUUCUGGGUCACCGGGUCAACCGGGUUCGACCACGGGUCAAUUGAUUAAAAUUUAAUUAAUAUAUUUAAUAUUCAUAGAGAAUAUAUAGUGUUUAUAAAUAUAAAACUAAAAAUAUUCAUACUAUAUUUACAAAAUAUGAAGUCUAACAAUAAUAAUAAAGUAAUUCAAAUUAAAAUUUUAAAUCCAACUAAAAGUCUAAAAUCGUAACAAAUAUUAAAAUAGUAGGAGAUCGCUAAUAACAGAAAUAAACUAAUAAAACAUCGCGAAUUCAAAACAACUAAUAUCGGUUAUUUUUUUCACCAUUUCAUUCAUUCUCCUUAGACGGUACUGUCAUGUUUCAUUAAAAUCUAAAACAUCAAAUGAGUCUAAGAACUACAAAAGAGUUCUAAAAAUAAUUGAAUAGAGUCUAAAACUCUAAAUUUUAUUCUAAAAUCAAAUGAUAUUUUUAAAACCCAUACCCAGCCGGUUCAACCGGUUCACUGGGUCGCGGGUUAAUGGCGGGUUUUGUGGGUUUUUCCGAUUUUGAAAUUGGCGGGUAUUAGCACUAAACCCAAACCGGAAAAGUAUCCGGGUCGUGGGUUAACCGGUCGGACCGGGCGGUCCGGGUCGGGCGUGAAAACACUGCGAGUUUCUCCCUGUUUCGGAAUCGUCUUUAUUUUGAAUCUCUCUUUUGAUUUUGCAUAAAUGAAAAAUGCUAAAAAGUUCACCAAAUUAAUGUAUAUGACCUUACCUAAUUUGGAGACAUGAAACUUGGUGAGCAAGUCCAUUUCCUCUGUAUUAAUAAUGUACCGUCUAAAGGGUUUUCUUCAAUUAGGGUUUUCUUCAAUUAGGGUUUUCUUUUUUUCCUAAAUAUCUUGCUUUUCGAUAAGAUCGAUCAUUAUUCAUCAUUAUGUCUCUGCUUUUUAACCAGCCUUCGAAGUUAUUCCUAGGCAAACCUGCGUUGAUGAGAUCCUCUCUUUUUCUCUCUAAUGACUUAUCAUCUUCCUCAGUGCGAAUCCCUCCUUGUUCCAUCAACGGUUGUGGACUGAAGGUUAAGAUUGUUACUAAUGGUCGCCGCACUUAUUUCGCAAAGAAGGACGACGGAAUCGUGAGUUUCAACAAGGAAGAUGAAAAAAAAUGGCUAGCUUACAAAGGCUGGGUAGCUACUUACAACGGCGACGGAAUUAUGCAUUUCAUUGAGGAGACAGGAGAACAACCGAAACACUUUUCGUUGCCUCCUUUUGUAACUCUGCCUCAUUGCCAAACUCAGAUUGUCACCAAUGUGGUCAUGUCCUCACCUUCUCCUGAGGACGAGGACUGUGUCGUGGCUGUCAAGUUCUUGGGACCGCAACUGAGUUUUAUCAGACCAGCUCAAAGUAACUCUGAGGAGUGGACCAACGUCAGAAUUGAAAACCCUUGCUUCUACUCCUCCCAAGUCAUGUUUUCCAAGAAAGAUGGCAUGUUUCGUAUUCCCGGAUCUAGAGGCCACAUCAUCGGAUCAUGGGAUCUCCACACUGACACACACAAGCCCAAGAUUCAGAGGUUGCGGUUCCGAAACCUUCCUGAGCUAACCAAGACCCAACGCGAGCUUUUGGAAUCUUGCUGCACAAGCGAAUUCUUGCUGAUAGAGUCACAAUCAACCGAUGAAACUUUCUUGGUUAGGUGGUACAAGAAGAGCUCUAGAAAUAUCCUGAGUUCAAAAGCUGUGAUGGUGUUCAAACUCGAUGACAAAGGAAACGCUAUUUACACUCAAGACAUUGGAGAACUCUGCAUACUCCUCUCUGGAACUGAACUUUUAUGUGAACCUGCUAGUUCCAAUAUCUACCUCCUGAGGCCUAAUCACGUCGAAAUCUAUGAUGUCUACGAGUUCUUUACUCUCAAUAUCGCUAACUCCCCCAUUCUUUAGUAAAAUUUUGCUAUGAUUAAAUAUGGAAUUAAUUCUGAGUCUGUCUUCUCUUUUGAAUCUUUCAAACCUCAAAAUUGUAGAAGCGAAUCUCUAUGACAUUUUUAUGCAUAUGUGUUGUGGGAUAAUUAAGAUGUGCUAUCAUCUUUCUUCUAACCAAUAAUGCUUAAACUCUAUAUAUCGAACUAGUAGCAAUAUCAUUCAUUUUAAUCGAGAUGCUUUUAUGUGGAAUGUGCUAGUAUUCGUGUGGUUACCUUUAUGCAUAUGGUUGUAAUGACUGCGAACUA
rnacentral:lncRNA from 1 species